rnacentral:rRNA from 1 species
GACGAACGCUGGCGGCGUGCUUAACACAUGCAAGUCGAACGGAAAGGCCCUGCUUGCAGGGUACUCGAGUGGCGAACGGGUGAGUAACACGUGGGUGAUCUGCCCUGCACUUCGUGAUAAGCCUGGGAAACUGGGUCUAAUACCGGAUAGGAGCCAUUAUUAGCGUGAUGGUUGGAAAGUUUUUUCGGUGUAGGAUGAGCUCGCGGCCUAUCAGCUUGUUGGGGGGGUAAUGGCCUACCAAGGCGGCGACGGGUAGCCGGCCUGAGAGGGUGGACGGCCGCAUUGGGACUGAGAUGCGGCCCAGACGCCUACGGUAGGCAGAAGGGGGGAAUAUUGCACAAUGGGCGCAAGCUUGAUGCAGCGACGCCGCGUGGGGGAUGACGGCCUUCUGGUUGUAAACUCCUUUCGCGAGGGACGAAGCUUUUUGUGACGGUACCUAGAUAAGAAGCACCGGCUAACUACGUG